CACGUAGGGACCAAGCGUUGUCCGGAUUUAUUGGGCGUAAAGCGCUCGUAGGCGGUUCGUCACGUCGGGAGUGAAAACUCGGGGCUUAACCCCGAGCCUGCUUCCGAUACGGGCAGACUAGAGGUAGGCAGGGGAGAGCGGAACUCCUGGUGUAGCGGUGGAAUGCGCAGAUAUCAGGAAGAACACCGGUGGCGAAGGCGGCAUUCUGGACCGAUAUUGACGCUGAGGAGCGAAAGCUAGGGGAGCAAACGGG
rnacentral:rRNA from 1 species